rnacentral:rRNA from 1 species
AUUGAACGCUGGCGGCAUGCUUUACACAUGCAAGUCGAACGGUAACAGGGUGCUUGCACUGCCGACGAGUGGCGAACGGGUGAGUAAUGCGUCGGAACGUGCCGAGUAGUGGGGGAUAACGCAGCGAAAGUUGUGCUAAUACCGCAUACGUACUGAGGUAGAAAGUGGGGGACCUUCGGGCCUCACGCUAUUCGAGCGGCCGACGUCUGAUUAGCUAGUAGGUGAGGUAAAGGCUCACCUAGGCGACGAUCAGUAGCGGGUCUGAGAGGAUGAUCCGCCACACUGGGACUGAGACACGGCCCAGACUCCUACGGGAGGCAGCAGUGGGGAAUUUUGGACAAUGGGCGAAAGCCUGAUCCAGCCAUGCCGCGUGUCUGAAGAAGGCCUUCGGGUUGUAAAGGACUUUUGUCAGGGAGGAAAUCCCUAGUGCUAAUAACACUGGGGGAUGACAGUACCUGAAGAAUAAGCACCGGCUAACUACGUGCCAGCCGCCGCCGUAACAC